UACGGAGGGAGCUAGCGUUGUUCGGAAUUACUGGGCGUAAAGCGCACGUAGGCGGCUUUUUAAGUCAGGGGUGAAAUCCCGGGGCUCAACCCCGGAACUGCCCUUGAAACUGGAGAGCUAGAAUCUUGGAGAGGCGAGUGGAAUUCCGAGUGUAGAGGUGAAAUUCGUAGAUAUUCGGAGGAACACCAGUGGCGAAGGCGGCUCACUGGUCCAUAACUGACGCUGAGGUGCGAAAAGCGUGGGGGAGCAAACAGGG
rnacentral:rRNA from 1 species